GAGAGAGACAUGCGCGCAUAUCAAUAAGCGGAGGAAAAGAAACUAACAAGGAUUCCCCUAGUAACGGCGAGUGAAGCGGGAAGAGCUCAAAUUUGAAAUCUUAAAGGGUUUCCCUUUACGAAUUGUAGUUUAAAGAAGUGUUUUCUGUUGAGGUUUUGGUAAAAGUUCUUUGGAAUAGGACAUCAUAGAGGGUGAGAAUCCCGUAUUUGACCUUUACUUUCAACUUUGUGAUACACUUUCAAAGAGUCGGAUUGUUUGGGAAUGCAGUCCAAAAUGGGUGGUAAAUUUCAUCUAAAGCUAAUUAUUGGCGAGAGACCGAUAGCGAACAAGUACCGUGAGGGAAGGAUGAAAAGAACUUUGAAAAGAGAGUUAAACAGUACGUGAAAUUGUCAAAAGGGAAGCGUUUGACACCAGUGUUGUUUUUCUGAAAAUCAAUUAAAGAACUGUUUAUGCUAAGUUGUUUAGACUUUAUCAGCUAUCUGUUUAGUUUUGAGCUUUUCUUUAAUAGCACUUUUCAGUUAACAAGUCAACAUCAAUUUCUUUUGCUGUAAAAAAGCUUGAGGAAGGUGGCUUGAGAUUCGUCUUAAGUGUUUAUAGCCUCUUGCCUAUGCAGUCGGAGAGAUUGAGGUCUGCAGCGUAGAUCCUUCGGGGCUAAAUGCAUUUGUGCUAAGUUAUAGCAUUUUAUAGGCAACUUGUUGACUAUGAUUUGUCUUGUAGCUUACUCGCUUAUGUUAUUUUACCUACGCUUAGGAUGUUGACGCAUGAGAUAUACGC
rnacentral:rRNA from 1 species